GCCAGUGUGGUAUAGUGGUUUGUGUGUAAGACUACGACUCUGGAGAUCAGGGUUCUAUUCCCCACUCAGCCA